rnacentral:lncRNA from 1 species
CGCCGCGGCUCGCGGCUGCCCCCUAGGCCUGCGCCGGGCAGCCCGACAGGAAGUCACAAAAGAGUCAAUCAUGCGUGAUAAUCCUUUGUCUUUGGCAUGUAGAAGCCACCUCUUUUGCUAAAGAACUGACAGCUGCCCUCGGAUGAGAAUGUUUCCAGGAAAUGCAAAGCUUCUGCACUCCUUCCCACAUGAUUAUGUCCGGGUACUCUGCUGUGGUUGACACAGAAAUAGGAUAGAGAGUGUGUCAGCGUUUCUCAUGCUCAACCCCUCCACCACUACUUGAAGAAUGACCGUUUUGGAUCCUUCUCUGUGUGUUCC